GACGAACGCUGGCGGCGUGCUUAACACAUGCAAGUCGAACGGAAAGGCCCUGCUUUUGUGGGGUGCUCGAGUGGCGAACGGGUGAGUAACACGUGAGUAACCUGCCCUUGACUUUGGGAUAACUUCAGGAAACUGGGGCUAAUACCGGAUAGGAGCUCCUGCUGCAUGGUGGGGGUUGGAAAGUUUCGGCGGUUGGGGAUGGACUCGCGGCUUAUCAGCUUGUUGGUGGGGUAGUGGCUUACCAAGGCUUUGACGGGUAGCCGGCCUGAGAGGGUGACCGGCCACAUUGGGACUGAGAUACGGCCCGGCCUCCUACGGGGGGCAGCGGGGGGGAAUAUGGCACAAGGGGCGGAAGCCUGAUGCAGCAACGCCGCGUGCGGGAUGACGGCCUUCGGGUUGUAAACCGCUUUCGCCUGUGACGAAGGGUGAGUGACGGUAAUGGAUAAAGAAGCACCGGCUAACUACGUG
rnacentral:rRNA from 1 species